AGUGAACGCUGGCGGCAGGCCUAACACAUGCAAGUCGAACGGCCGCACAGUAAGCUUUUGCCCCUACUGUUGGCGACUGGCGGACGGGUGAGGCAUACAUCGGCUUCCACUAUUUCGUGGGGGACAACGUAGGGCCACUUAUACUACUACCGCAUACGACCUACGGGUUAAUUCAGAAGAUCUUCGCACUUUUCGCGAUUGAUUGAGCCGGUGUCGCAUUAGCUAGUUGGCGUGGUAACGGCCUACCAAGGCAACGAUGCGUAGCUGGUCUGAGAGGAUGAUCAGCCACACUGGAACUGAGACACGGUCCAGACUCCUACGGGAGGCAGCAGUAGGGAAUAUUCGACAAUGGGCGCAAGCCUGAUGCAGCCAUGCCGCGUGAGUGAUGAAGGCCUUCGGGUUGUAAAGCCCUGUUGUUGGGGAAGAAAAGCAGCAGAUGAAUCCGCCGCUGUUCUGACGGUACCUAAAGAGAAGGCACCGGCUAACUUCGUG
rnacentral:rRNA from 1 species